ACCAGACUCCUACGGGAGGCAGCAGUGAGGAAUAUUGGUCAAUGGGCGCGAGCCUGAACCAGCCAAGUCGCGUGAGGGAAGACGGUCCUAUGGAUUGUAAACCUCUUUUGUCGGGGAGCAAAAGACGCCACGCGUGGCGUUCCGAGAGUACCCGAAGAAAAAGCAUCGGCUAACUCCGUGCCAGCAGCCGCGGUAAUACGUAGGGGGCUAGCGUUAUCCGGAUUUACUGGGCGUAAAGGGUGCGUAGGCGGUCUUUCAAGUCAGGAGUGAAAGGCUACGGCUCAACCGUAGUAAGCUCUUGAAACUGGCAGCCUUGAGUACAGUUGAGGUAGGCGGAAUUCGUGGUGUAGCGGUGAAAUGCUUAGAUAUCACGAAGAACUCCGAUUGCGAAGGCAGCCUACUAAACUGCCACUGACAUUGAUGCUCGAAAGUGUGGGUAUCAAACAGGAUUAGAUACCCUCGUAC
rnacentral:rRNA from 1 species